AUUGAACGCUGGCGGCAGGCUUAACACAUGCAAGUCGAGCGGAGAUGAGGUGCUUGCACCUUAUCUUAGCGGCGGACGGGUGAGUAAUGCUUAGGAAUCUGCCUAUUAGUGGGGGACAACAUUCCGAAAGGAAUGCUAAUACCGCAUACGUCCUACGAGAGAAAGCAGGGGAUCUUCGGACCUUGCGCUAAUAGAUGAGCCUAAGUCGGAUUAGCUAGUUGGUGUGGUAAAGGCCUACCAAGGCGACGAUCUGUAGCGGGUCUGAGAGGAUGAUCCGCCACACUGGGACUGAGACACGGCCCAGACUCCUACGGGAGGCAGCAGUGGGGAAUAUUGGACAAUGGGGGGAACCCUGAUCCAGCCAUGCCGCGUGUGUGAAGAAGGCCUUAUGGUUGUAAAGCACUUUAAGCGAGGAGGAGGCUACUGAGUCUAAUACUCUUGGAUAGUGGACGUUACUCGCAGAAUAAGCACCGGCUAACUCUGUGCCAGCCGCCGCAGUAA
rnacentral:rRNA from 1 species